GGGCUCUGGGCACAGACUCAGGUGGGCCAGUCCGAGGGCUGUGGCAGGCAAGGUGAAUGUGAUCCCUAGACCUUUAACACCUGGCUCUGAGUCCUGCCCGCACCUUCCAGGCACCACUCACUCCAAUGGCUCCACUCCUGGGCUCCUUGAUACAGACAAGGGCUCUGAUUGGAAACCCUCUGACUCCUCCGUGCUUCUUGGCCUUUGACAAGUUUAUCACAGAUGGGAGAAGGACAUUCUGUUUCUUCAGUGUUAUGGGCUGACUCACUUCCCUCUUCUCUGCAAUAAGCACAAAGGCCAAAGUCAGUCCACUCUACCAAGAAACAGCAAAAUGGCUCUGAGAGUGGUGUCCUUCCGGAUUGGUGAACCUCCAGCUCCACUCAGCUCCUGGGGCUCAGCCAGCAGAGCUGUGCAGUGGAAAGGAAUCCACCUUGGAACAGGAUCCCUGGCUUUACCACUUCAAUUGCUGAGUGAUCUCCAGCUAGUUAGUUUCAGCCUAUUUCCUCAUGUGAAAAAUUGAGGUAAAAAUACUUGGAAAUAUUGUUGUAAAGGUUAAGUAACGUAAGAAAAAUGCCUGGAACCAUGUCUUCCACCAAAGUAGGUAGGGGCUCAACAAAUAUUGAAUUGAUUCAUAUGACAUUGCCAUUUAUAUAGGUCAAAAAUGGCCAAAUAUUGACAAUUUCAUAUGGUUCAACCUGCCAUCAGCCUAUUACUCAAGCACCUAAGAAAUCAGUGUCCAAUUGGUUGGAGUAUUGGGUACAAACAAGGUAGAACCUUAGAGGUAGAACCCCAGUGUUGACUUUUAUUUACAUUAUCAAAGAAUCAAGGAAGGCCAGCACCCUACUAUGCACUUUAAAUUCUGGAAGAUUUUCUUCACUCUUAGCUAGUUAAACAAAGCCGAUUUAAGAGACAGGAUAAAAUUGUGGUUUAGAGCCUAGACUCUGGGGAGAGAUUGUCUGGGAUUAAAUUCCAGCUCUGCUACUGACGAGCAUUGUGAAACUGAGCAAGUUUGUUAAUCAACCUGGGUCUCAGUUUUGUUCCCCGUGACAUAGGAUAUUACAGGGUGUUGUGCAGAUGAAAUAAGUUAAAACAUGUAACAUUCUUAGAAUCUGGAAGUGUUAACGAUCAUUAUCUUGAUUUAAAAUAGGUGGUUUGGCCUGACUAGUUAGUGAAAUCUCUUUCACAACAAAGCACCCAUUGGGUAGAAAUCAGAACUCCAGCAAUGGAGAAUCAGCCUCCCCUUGUUGAUCAGUCCCAGUUUAGCAGCUGGGAUACUCCUUGGGAAGCUCAAAGAUGGUAGGUGUCACCACCCAUGAUAGCUCAGUGAGAAUCCACCCAGCCAGUGAUGAGUGCUUCAAGGGUGGGGCAGAGAAUAUCACACAGUCAUUUGGAGCAGUGGUGAUUCAUGCACACCCUGAAAACCUCAACAGAAAAGAGAUGGUAGCAGAUGAAAAGGAAGAGGGAUACAAUUUCCACAACCAAGAAGAAACAGACACUGCUCAUUCUGGUGAGAAAUGAGAGCAUAAUUUGAAUUCAGCAUUUAUUUAGAAAAUCAGAUUAAUGAGGACAAAGACAUCAUAAGGAAAAUAAUGAUAAAGACCUCUAGGCUUUCCCACAAUCACUUUCAUGUAUAUUAUCAAACUAUAUCCACACACAAAAAGUCUCUGAGUCAGAUAGGCAAAGCCAGCAUUAUUUUCAUGUAUGGAUGAGGAACUGAUGAAUCAUGGAGUUUGAAUGGCUAACUAGAGUCUAAAAGAAUGUAGAAACCCAUAAAAGACAAAGAGAAUAAAGAAAACAAGCAGACAAGAGAAUUCCACACAAGUUUGAAAGAUAGGACCAGAUGGAGGUAAGUGGUUUAGUAAGACAGAGGAAGCAAGGAUUUAAGUCACCUGAAGACAAGUUACCACAAAUGAAUUAGCUCAUUCAUCCCAAUGGAAAACCUGAGAUGCUCAAGAUUUGGAGACAGCAGGUACAAUGAAGGGUUGGGGUGAGGUAAGGAGCUAAAAAUAGAAGUUGAAAGUUCGUUUGUGAAGCAGUCAUGUUCUUCUCUCACCUUGCACAGUCAGGCCACUAGUUUCCCAGGCUGGUGAUGAAAGAGUUUUUUUGUGUGUAAUUUGAAUGGGAAAGGCUUUGACUUGGGGCUACAGAGAUAGGGGCAACAGAGGGGAGGGACAUGGAAGUCUGCAAACUUAACCAACUUCUCUUCAUUUCUCCCUCCCUACUACUCUUCUCCGCCUCACUUCUCUAAAGAAGAUAUACAAAUGGCUAACAGGUAUGUGAAAAAAUGCUCAACGUCACUAAUUGUUAGGGAAAUGCAAGUCAAAACCACAAUGAGAUAUCAUCCCACCCCAGUUAGAAUGGCUGUUAUCAAAAAGACAAAAACUAAAUGUUGGUGAGGAUGUGAAGAAAGGGGAAUGCUUAUACACUGCUGAUGAGAAUGUAAAUUAGUACAACUAUUAUGGAAACAAUAUAAAGGUUCCUCAAAAAUCUUAAAAUGGAACUACCAUAUGAUCCAGCAAUCCCACGAUUGGGAAUAUAUCCAAAAGAAAGGAAAUCAGAAUAUUGAAGAAAUAUCUGUACCCCCAUGUUUAUUGUGGCACUAUUCACAAUAGCCAAGAUAAGGAAUCAACCUGUGUCCAUCAACAAAUAAAUGGAUAAAGAAAAUGAGGUCUGUAUAUACAAUGGAAUGCUAUUGUAUAUAAAUACAUUUUCAGCCAUAAAAAACGAAAUCCUGUCUUUUGAAGAAAUGUGGAUGGAACUAGGGGAUGUUAUGUUAAGUGAAAUAAGCUCGGCAAAGAAAGACAAAUAUUGUAUAUUCUCACUUAUAUGUGAAACUGAAAAAAGUUGAUGUCUUGGAGGUAGCGAGUAGAAUGAUGGUUAUCAGAUUAUCUUUUGACAAAUUAAAUUAUCCUAAAGAAAAAGUUUCCAGCUUUAUUGAUUGACCGAUUUGCAUUUAUGAACUCCAUGUUCAAUCACCCACAUUGUGCACACGUACCCUAAAACUUAAAGUAUAAUAAUAAUAAAAUAAAAAAAGAAAGAAAUAAUAAAUAACUUAUUUACCUUUAAAAAAAAAAAAAAGAUCAUCAUCACACCACUGCACUCCAGCCUGGGUAACAGAGUGAGAUCUUGUCUCAAAAAAAUAAAUAAAUAAAUAAAAAUAAAAAGAGAGAGAGAAAAAAAGUAAAGUGACAAUAAAAUUUCCCAGGAGUAAAAAAAAAAUCUCCAGAUUGAACACAUUGCUUUUAUGAACAGAAAAAUAAAUUAAUUAAGGCCCACCCUAUGCCAAACUAUGUAAUUGUGAGAUUAUGUGUUACCCCCAAAUUAUGUGAGAAACAUUAUGAGAUAAUUGUGUCCCCAAAGAGAGGGGAAAAGUCACUUACAAGAAAAUAAGCAUGAGGAAGGAAUAGGAUUAUACAACACUUACAAUAAAUGUUAGAAGAGAUCAAUAAGAUAGUGCCUUCAAAUAUGUGAAGGAAAAUUAAGUUUCAACCUAGACUUUGAAUCUCAGCCAGACUAUAACUCCAGAGAGUUGAUAAAAUAAAGACAUUUUCAGAAGAGUAGGAAUGCAAAAACACUACCCCUAUUUCUUUUUUUUAAAAGCAACUGGAGGACUUUCAGUUAUCUUAAUGGCAGUCUAGACCAAUCCUCCUGAUGAGGUUGACUAAAACAGCUAUAUAUGUAUAUUGAGUAACGUAGAGGAUGAAUAUAUACAUACAUACUUUUUUUCUUAAAAUCCUUAAAAAGCAAACUAGUGAGGGAUUACCAUGCCAAAAACUUGGGAGAAUAUAAGAAGGAAAAAGCAAGUACUCACAGAUGCACUGGCCCUGAUUAGGAAGAAACAGCUGCAGUAUGGAGCUGUGGUAUUUGGCAGCCUCACUGAACAAAAUAGAUAAAAGGACCUGCCAAGUGGAAAGUCUGAUAAAUACCCACACAUUAAAUGAAGGUCCUGAAGGGCUUUACUCUUAGGGCAGAGCUUCCCAAACUUGUGGGCACAUUAGAAUCACUGGAGAGCUUUUAAAAAUUCCAAAGCCCAGGUAACACCAGAGACCAUUCAAAUCACAAUCUCUGACUGUAGGAAACAAGCAUCAGUACAUUUUAAAGUUUCCCAGGUGACUCAAAUGUACAAACAAGUUUGAGAAUCGCUGCUGUUAGAGAAAGAAUAAAUUGAAAUCAACACUGUUCUCAUAUGGAUGAUCCAGGGAAUCUCAAGCCUGAAAUUUCAAUUAAGGUAGUCUAGAGUGUCAGAAGCAAAUUAAAAUUUUCUGUGGAGGUAGAUGUUUUCAAUCUAUGCCCAAAUUAUUUCUACGAAUAAGAUUUCAAAUACAAUGUUAAGCAUAAGGUCUGUAUGAGACAUAACCAGGGAGUAAAAAAAGACAACAGAAACAAGCCCACAAAGAUUUCAGAUAGUGAAAGUAUUGGGCACAGCCACCAAAAUCAUGUUUUCUGUCUUCAGACUGAAAAAGAAAAUCUUGAACAUUUCAAUUGGGAAGUGGAAACUUUAAAAAGUUGCUUUUAUUUGAAAAAGGACUGAGUAGAAAUUCUAGAACUAAAAAAUACAGUAACUAUAGUUAAGAAUUCUACAGGUUUACCAGAUAUACAGGUAGAACAGAUAUAGCCAAAUAUUAGAUUAGGGAACUGGAAUAUAAAUUAGAAGAAAGUAUCCAGAAAAAAACGAAAGGAUGAGUAUUGAUUGCCAAAUAUUUGUUUGCAUGGCCAGAGAGUCAAUAUUUCAGAUCAUGCAGGCCAUACUGUCUCUGUGGUAACUAGUCAAUUCUGCCACUAUAGUUCAAAAAAAGCCAUAGACAACAAGCAACUGAAUAAUCAUGACUAUAUUCAAAACUUUAUUUACAAAAACAGGUGACUACCUCCAAAGCCACAGUUUAUCAACACUUAACAUAGAAUGAAAAUUUUAACAUAUGUAUGUUAUGUCUUGGAGACAUAGGUCUCCAAAUAGACCAUAAGGAGAGUAAUGGGGUACAGACAGUAAAUGAAAAAAAAAAUUACCAAGAGUUUUUUAAAACUGAUGAAUGACACCAAUUCAAAAAAUUCAGGAGUUCAAUAAAUCCCUAAUAUGAUAAAUAUAAAGAAACCCAUACCUUGGUUUGCAAGAAAAGCAAAGAGAAAGGGAAAAUCAUAAGCUAGAGAAAAAGAACACUUUCAAAGUUGUGACAGAGUGGCAACUAACUUCUCAGUAUCAAAAAACAAAGACUGAAAGGUAAGACCUCAAACUGUAAGAAUCCUAGAAGAAAACCUAGGAAAUACCAUUCUGGACACUGGCCUUGGGGAGGAAUUCAUGACUAAUCCUCAAAAGUAAUUGCAACAGAAACAAAGAUUGACAAAUUGGACCUAAUUAAACCAAACACCCUCUGCACAGCAAAAGAAACUACCAACAGAGUGAAAAGAAGACCUACAGAAUGGGAGAAAAUAUUCACAAACUAUGCAUCGGACAAAAAAGAUCUAAUAUCCAGAAUCUAAAAGAAACUUAAAUCAGCAAGCAAAGACAACUCCGUUAAAAAAUGAGCAAAGGACAUGAACAGACACUACUAAAAAGACAUACAAGUGGCCAACAAACAUAUGAAAAUAUGCUUAACAUCACUAAUAAUCAGAAAAAUGCAAAUCAAAAGCACAAAGAGGUACCAUCUCCCACCAGUCAGAAUGGCUAUUACUAAAAAGUCAAAAAACAAUAGACGCUGGCAAGGCUGCAGAGAUAAGGGAACACUUAUACACUGUUAGUAGGAAUGUAAAUUACUUCAGCCCCUUUGGAAAGCAGUUUGGAGAUUUCUCAAAGAACUAAAAACAGAAUUACCAUUAAACUCAGCAAUCCUAUUUCUUUUAUUUAAAAAAAAGAUUCUUCUAACAAAAAGAUACCUGCACUUGUAUGUUCAUUGCAGCACUAUUCACAAAAAUGAAGACACAGAAUCAACCUAGGUUCCCAUCAACAGUGGAUUGGACAAGGAAAAUGUAGUAUAUACAUACCAUGCAAUACUACACAGCCAUAGAAAAGAAUGCAAUCAUGUCCUUUGCAGCAACAUGGAUACAGCUGGAGGCCACUAUCCUAAGUGAUUUAACACAAGAACAGAAAACCAAAUACUGCGUGUUCUCACUUAGAACUGGGAGCUAAACUCAUGGACAUAAAAAUGUCAAGAAUAGACACUGGGGACUACUAGAUGGGGGAGGGGCACAGGGGUUGAAAAACUGUUGGGUACUAUACCCGCUAUGUGAGUGAUGGGAUCAUUAAUACCCAAACCUCAGCAUCAUGCAAUAUACCCAUGCAACAAACCUGCACAUGUACCCGUGAAUCUAAAAGUUAAAAAAAAAAAAAAAACAGCACGAGGGAAUGUCUUCAACACAGUAAUAGAAAAUAACUGCCUACUUAGAAUUCUACACUCAUCAAAAAUAUACCUCAAAAUUUAAAGCAAUAUGAUGACUCUAUUUGACAAGUAAAAACAGGGUGUCUUCUGUAGAUCUGCACUAAAAGAUAUUCUAGAGCAUGUAGUUCAGACAUAAGGAAAAUGAUCAUUGGUGAAAGGUAAAGCUGAGGGAAAAAAAGGAAAGCAAGAAAAAUGGUAAAUAUGUGGGUAAAUCCAAAUGAAUGCUAUGUAAAAUAAUAACAUGUUUUAUAGUGUUUUAAAUAUAUAGAGAAUUUAAAUACACUGUAAUAAUAGUUUUGAAUUUGGGAAAGUGGUAUUGAAUUUGUGUUGUCUAGGAGGAGGGUAAAGGUAAUAAUUAACAUUUGGUAAGUCAAGGAUGUGAAUCAUAAUUUCUAGAAUAACCACUAAGAAAAUAGAAACAAAGUGUACAACUUCCAAAUUAAUGAAGGGGAAGAAACUUCAAACUAGAAAAAUCAAAAAGAAGGCGAAGAAGAGAGAAAAAAUAGAACAGCAGGUAUGAUGGAAAGUACAAAAUAAAAUGGUAGAUUUAAACACAAAGGUACAGUUAAUACAUUAAGUAUAAAUAGACUAAUUGCUGCAAUUAGAAGUCUAAGAUUGUCCUUCUGGAUCAAAAAAAAAAGACAAACUAAUGAACAAAUUCCAAAUACAGGUUGUUUAAAAGUAACAUAUCUAAGACAUAAAAAUAAAAAUCAAUUUUAAAGGGGCAAAAAAUAAAACAUAAAAAUAAAGAAAUGUUUACAGCAACUAGAAAAUAUGCUCCAACAAAAUGAGAAAAUAAAUUAAGGAAAAAAUAACACAUGGGAUUGAGGAGACAGGGGACUGGCAUUGGAAGUCAAAGGGUUAUGGGAAGAAAGUUUCCAGGUAAAGUAGAGAAUUAAUAAACACUUUGAUGCCUCUGAGUAUGGGGAAAAAUAACAGCUGAUUGAUAUAUGGUGUCUCUGAUGGAAUAUUUAGAAAAAUGUGGAUAUUAGCUUUUUAAAACUACAGUGAAAAUAGAAGCAAUUAAUAAUUCUAAAAAAUCCCAUGAAAGGUUUCUUUCAGACAAGAAAGGAAAUGCAAUCAUACCCUGUGGAUUGAUUUCACAAUUUAAAAGUGUUUGCCCAAUCUCAAUGUAAACACUAUUUAAUAAUUGAGCUAAAAUUUGUUAUAUACACUGCUGAGCAGAAGAGGGAGGAGAGUGGAAUGUAAGAGAGAGGAAUACUUACUGUGUAAAAUAGAAGUCACUAAAUGAGGUCUAAAAAAUGUAAAUCAAGAAUUGGUAGCAUAAUCCUAUUACUUAGAAUUAUAGAGGUAAGUGCCAGAAAGAUCAGCUAAAAUAAAUGCAAGUGACUAUCUCUGAGAAGAAGGAGGUAAGGGAUGAAGAGUAGUGAGGCAAGUGCUGUUUAUAAUUAUGAGCCUUCUUGUUUUAUUUGGUUUUUAAACUAUGUACGUGCAUUACUUUGUUAAAAUUGAAAUGACAAAAAUGAAAUCAAAACAAACCAGAAAAUAGAAGCAAUGAAGGGGCCCUUUUCCUAUCAGAUAUAACAAUUAAAAUGGAAAUUAAAAUUGUCAUUACACAGAAAUACAUAAGUAGAUAUCAAAAUACAUUAUAAAUUAUGUAAGUUAAACAAUAAUUGUCACAGAAAUAAACAAAUAGUUCCAUGAAACAGGAUAAAUAUUCAAAUUAAUAUGGAAAUUCAUUUCAUGAUAAAGGCAGCCUUUUAACAGGAGUAUUUUAAAUUAGUAGGGAUAUUUAAUUGAUGACUGGCAAUUCAUUUUGAAAAAUCAGUGUUAGAUCCCUGUCUCACACCAUACAAAGAAAGAAAUUUCAGUCAGAUCCAAAAGCUAAAUGCAAAACCCAAAAUUUAAAAAAGAGAAUGAGAUAAUAUCUGUAUGUACUAACUUUGAAAUAGGUCUAUAAGCUAUUUUUAGGUGAAAAAAGAAAAUAGGAGUACAGUAUGAUUAGCAUAAUUCUAUUUUUUAAGUAAAAAUAUAUAUGUGAAUUUGUGUGUGUGCAUGUGUGUGUGUGUGUAUGCAUGUGUGAGAGAAGUGCAGGGGAAGGAGCAAUUGAGAACAAUAGCCUAGAAUAUCCACUAAAUUGUUAGUAACUAGAUUUUGGUGGUGGUGAUGAUGGAGAGAUCAUAACUAAAAAUGUGGGAAAGUUGUCAGUGAUUAUUACUUUCAUUUUCUCCUUUUUUCACAUUUUUCAAAUAAAAGCUGUUAAAAAGAAAAAGGUUAAAAGAGUUCCAAGUGAAGGUUUAGUCUUAACCUUUAAAUCUAUCCCUCUAUUACUUACCCUGGGAUUUAUAAAAACUGUGCUCACACAUAAAUCCUGCAUAUAUUUCUAUCUGCUAAAGCUUCUGUGAUCUUUCUUUUUCUAAAAAAAAAAAAAUACUUUAUCCAGCUUUUGUAAAUAGGAAAUGUUCUAUUUAAGUAACAUUUGUUGAAUGAUUAUAAUAUGUGGAACAAAUAACUAGAUAUGUUAUAUAAUUUUUCCUAACACCCUGGGUUCAAUCUAGAAAAUUUUGUAAGGAAAAUUACAAGGCAAGUUAAAAAGAGGGGAGUACUCUUUCUAAGAUUAUAUCAAAUAACUCCAAGGCAAUAA
rnacentral:lncRNA from 10 species